rnacentral:rRNA from 1 species
CACUCCUACGGGAGGCAGCAGUGGGGAAUUUUGGACAAUGGGCGAAAGCCUGAUCCAGCAAUGCCGCGUGAGUGAAGAAGGCCUUCGGGUUGUAAAGCUCUUUUGUCAGGGAAGAAACGGUGAGAGCUAAUAUCUUUUGCUAAUGACGGUACCUGAAGAAUAAGCACCGGCUAACUACGUGCCAGCAGCCGCGGUAAUACGUAGGGUGCAAGCGUUAAUCGGAAUUACUGGGCGUAAAGCGUGCGCAGGCGGUUUUGUAAGUCUGAUGUGAAAUCCCCGGGCUCAACCUGGGAAUUGCAUUGGAGACUGCAAGGCUAGAAUCUGGCAGAGGGGGGUAGAAUUCCACGUGUAGCAGUGAAAUGCGUAGAUAUGUGGAGGAACACCGAUGGCGAAGGCAGCCCCCUGGGUCAAGAUUGACGCUCAUGCACGAAAGCGUGGGGAGCAAACAGGAUUAGAAACCCCGGUAGUCCCA